rnacentral:rRNA from 1 species
UACGUAGGGGGCAAGCGUUGUCCGGAAUCAUUGGGCGUAAAGCGCGUGUAGGCGGUUCGAUUAGUCUGCUGUGAAAGUCCAGGGCUCAACCCUGGGAUGCCGGUGGAUACUGUCGGACUAGAGUACGGAAGAGGCGAGUGGAAUUCCCGGUGUAGCGGUGAAAUGCGCAGAUAUCGGGAGGAACACCUAUUGCGAAGGCAGCUCGCUGGGACGUUACUGACGCUGAGACGCGAAAGCGUGGGGAGCAAACAGG